rnacentral:rRNA from 1 species
UACGUAGGGUGCGAGCGUUGUCCGGAAUUAUUGGGCGUAAAGAGCUCGUAGGCGGUGUGUCGCGUCGGUCGUGAAAACUUGGGGCUUAACUCUGAGCUUGCGGUCGAUACGGGCAGGCUAGAGUUCGGUAGGGGAGUCUGGAAUUCCUGGUGUAGCGGUGAAAUGCGCAGAUAUCAGGAGGAACACCGGUGGCGAAGGCGGGACUCUGGGCCGAUACUGACGCUGAGGAGCGAAAGCGUGGGGAGCGAACAGG